rnacentral:rRNA from 1 species
UGGGGAAUUUUGGACAAUGGGCGAAAGCCUGAUCCAGCAAUGCCGCGUGUGUGAAGAAGGCCUUCGGGUUGUAAAGCACUUUUGUCCGGAAAGAAAUCCUUGGCUCUAAUACAGUCGGGGGAUGACGGUACCGGAAGAAUAAGCACCGGCUAACUACGUGCCAGCAGCCGCGGUAAUACGUAGGGUGCAAGCGUUAAUCGGAAUUACUGGGCGUAAAGCGUGCGCAGGCGGUUUGCUAAGACCGAUGUGAAAUCCCCGGGCUCAACCUGGGAACUGCAUUGGUGACUGGCAGGCUAGAGUAUGGCAGAGGGGGGUAGAAUUCCACGUGUAGCAGUGAAAUGCGUAGAGAUGUGGAGGAAUACCGAUGGCGAAGGCAGCCCCCUGGGCCAAUACUGACGCUCAUGCACGAAAGCGUGGGGAGCAAACAGGAUUAGAUACCCUGGUAGUCCAGCGCCCUAAACGAUGUCAACUAGUUGUUGGGGACUUCAUUUCCUUAGUAACGUAGCUAA